rnacentral:rRNA from 1 species
UACGAAGGGGGCUAGCGUUGCUCGGAAUCACUGGGCGUAAAGCGCACGUAGGCGGACUCUUAAGUCGGUGGUGAAAUCCUGGAGCUCAACUCCAGAACUGCCUUCGAUACUGGGAGUCUCGAGUUCGGGAGAGGUGAGUGGAACUGCGAGUGUAGAGGUGAAAUUCGUAGAUAUUCGCAAGAACACCAGUGGCGAAGGCGGCUCACUGGCCCGAUACUGACACUGAGGCACGAAAGCUAGGGGAGCAAACAGG